GAGAACCUGCACGACAGGUGCUGCGAUGGCUGUCGUCAGCUCGUGUCGUGAGAUGUUCGGGUUAAGUCCCGCAACGAGCGCAACCCUUGCCAUUAGUUGCUACGAAAGGGCACUCUAAUGGGACUGCCGGUGACAAACCGGAGGAAGUGGGGAUGACGUCAAGUCCUCAUGGCCCUUAUAGGUGGGGCUACACACGUCAUACAAUGGCCGGUACAGAGGGUAGCCAACCCGCAGGGGGAGCCAAUCCCACAAAGCCGGUCGUAGUCCGGAUCGCAGUCUGCAACUCGACUGCGUGAAGUCGGAAUCGCUAGUAAUCGCGGAUCAGCAUGUCGCGGUGAAUACGUUCCCGGGUCUU
rnacentral:rRNA from 1 species